GGACCCGUUCGCUGGUCGGUAUCGAUGGGGAGCGCUUGCAUGGCAUGCAAGAGGCCAGUGGUUCGAUCCCGCUUAGCUCCACCA
rnacentral:tRNA from 3 species